GCCAGUACAGCUGCUUUAAUUUAUGGUCUUCAACUCCAUGAAACAUGAUAAAAGAUUACACGUUGCAUUGAUGACCUGACAGAUGCAUUACCCUACACUGGGAAAACUGACACAUCCUGCCACAGCAUCGAUACAGCUACCAAUGGAUGAGUAACCAUAAAAAAACUAAGAUGAGGAACACUGAAAUGACCCAAUCCUUCUCCAUAAGGAGAGAUGAAGAAUAGACCAUUAUUGGAGGUUCCGCCUUGGAUAUCCAUUGGAUUAGUCCAUUCUGUUAUCAUGAUUCCAUGGGUGAAUUUGCCCUUUUGAUAUGGCUCCUGAAGGGUUAUGCAAGACCACCAGGCUCCUGGUACUUCUGAGAUUCGAGAAUAAGGUUCCAGACACGUUAUUGAACAUGGCCUGAAAUCCCAAAUACAAUCAGUC